UUACAUCGAACAGCACCACCUGCUGGUUGAAAUCCCCUCUGCAGUGAGGGUCACCACCUGCCUCUUUCUUCUUCUGCUGUCUACAGAACACAGUCUACGAACACACUGAGAGAACCAGCUGAUGAGCCUUUAACAUAAUAUUCUAACUUAUUAAAGAACACCAUUCACUCUUCACACACUAGCCUGUCUCACGUGUCACUCAAGGCAGACAAAUGACAAUAUCAUGGUAACAGGUUGCUGUACAUCAUCAAGGCAAACCAAGCAACCAAGAUAGAAAUCUGAAGACUUUCAUGAAUUCAUUGUUUUUAAUUGUUGAGUAGGACUCCAUUGUGUAA